CGGCCACGGUAUCCUAACCGUGCGAAGGUAGCAUAAUCACUUGUUCUUUAAAUGGGGACUUGUAUCAACGGCAUCACGAGGGUUACACUGUCUCCUUUUUCUAAUCAGUGAAACUAAUCUUCCCGUGAAGAAGCGGGAAUAUCCCCAUAAGACGAGAAGACCCCAUGGAGCUUCAAACCCAAUUACACCCCUAACCCCUAUAACUACUUAACCCUUAGGAUUCUGUAUUAUUGGUUUUAGGUUGGGGCGACCACGGAGUACAACAAAACCUCCACAAUGAACGGAACUACUUCCUCAUCUGAGAGCUACACCUCUAAGAAUUAAAAUAUUAACAUAAAAUGAUCCAUUUUUGAUCAAUGAACCAAGUUACCCUGGGGAUAACAGCGCAAUCCAUUUCAAGAGCCCCUAUCGAC
rnacentral:rRNA from 1 species